rnacentral:rRNA from 1 species
GACGAACGCUGGCGGCGUGCCUAAUACAUGCAAGUAGAACGCUGAAGGAGGAGCUUGCUUCUCUGGAUGAGUUGCGAACGGGUGAGUAACGCGUAGGUAACCUGCCUGGUAGCGGGGGAUAACUAUUGGAAACGAUAGCUAAUACCGCAUAAUAGUAGAUGUUGCAUGACAUUUGCUUAAUAGGUGCAAUUGCAUCACUACCAGAUGGACCUGCGUUGUAUUAGCUAGUUGGUGAGGUAACGGCUCACCAAGGCGACGAUACAUAGCCGACCUGAGAGGGUGAUCGGCCACACUGGGACUGAGACACGGCCCAGACUCCUACGGGAGGCAGCAGUAGGGAAUCUUCGGCAAUGGACGGAAGUCUGACCGAGCAACGCCGCGUGAGUGAAGAAGGUUUUCGGAUCGUAAAGCUCUGUUGUAAGAGAAGAACGAGUGUGAGAGUGGAAAGUUCACACUGUGACGGUAUCUUACCAGAAAGGGACGGCUAACUACGUG